rnacentral:rRNA from 1 species
UACGAAAGGUGCAAGCGUUACUCGGAAUCACUGGGCGUAAAGCGCACGUAGGCGGACUCGUAGGUCAAUUGUGAAAUACCUGGGCUCAACCCGGGAACUGCAGUUGAAACCGCUUGUCUUGAAUAUCUGAGAGGGUGGGGGAAUACCUGGUGGAGAAGUGAAAUUCGUAGAGAUCAGGUGGAACACCGGAGGCGAAGGCGCCUGCCUGGCAGUAUAUUGACGCUGAGGUGCGAAAGUGCGGGGAGCAAACAGG